CGGCCUAUCAGCUUGUUGGUGAGGUAACGGCUCACCAAGGCGACGACGGGUAGCCGGCCUGAGAGGGCGACCGGCCACACUGGGACUGAGACACGGCCCAGACUCCUACGGGAGGCAGCAGUGGGGAAUAUUGCACAAUGGGCGCAAGCCUGAUGCAGCGACGCCGCGUGAGGGAUGACGGCCUUCGGGUUGUAAACCUCUUUCAGCAGGGAAGAAGCGCAAGUGACGGUACCUGCAGAAGAAGCGCCGGCUAACUACGUGCCAGCAGCCGCGGUAAUACGUAGGGCGCAAGCGUUGUCCGGAAUUAUUGGGCGUAAAGAGCUCGUAGGCGGCUUGUCGCGUCGGUUGUGAAAGCCCGGGGCUUAACCCCGGGUCUGCAGUCGAUACGGGCAGGCUAGAGUUCGGUAGGGGAGAUCGGAAUUCCUGGUGUAGCGGUGAAAUGCGCAGAUAUCAGGAGGAACACCGGUGGCGAAGGCGGAUCUCUGGGCCGAUACUGACGCUGAGGAGCGAAAGCGUGGGGAGCGAACAGGAUUAGAUACCCUGGUAGUCCACGCCGUAAACGGUGGGCACUAGGUGUGGGCCACAUUCCACGUGGUUCGUGCCGCAGCUAACGCAUUAAGUGCCCCGCCUGGGGAGUACGG
rnacentral:rRNA from 1 species